rnacentral:rRNA from 1 species
CAGCCGCCACGGGAAAACGUAGGGGGCAAGCGUUAUCCGGAAUAACUGGGCGUAAAGGGUGCGCAGGUGGUUCAACAAGUUAGUGGUGAAAGGCAUAGGCUCAACCAUUGUAAGCCAUUAAAACUGUUUAACUUGAGUGCAGGAGAGGAAAGUGGAAUUCCUAGUGUAGCGGUGAAAUGCGUAGAUAUUAGGAGGAAUACCAGUGGCGAAGGCGACUUUCUGGACUGCAACUGACACUGAGGCACGAAAGCGUGGGGAGCAAACAGGAUUAGAUACCCGCGUAGUCCCUGUCUCUUAUACA